AACGAACGCUGGCGGCAUGCCUAACACAUGCAAGUCGAACGAGACCUUCGGGUCUAGUGGCGCACGGGUGCGUAACGCGUGGGAACCUGCCCUUAGGUUCGGCAUAACUCCCCGAAAGGGGUGCUAAUACCGGAUAAUGUCUUCGGACCAACGAUUUAUCGCCUUUGGAUGGGCCCGCGUUGGAUUAGCUAGUUGGUAGGGUAAAAGCCUACCAAGGCGACGAUCCAUAGCUGGUCUGAGAGGAUGAUCAGCCACACUGGGACUGAGACACGGCCCAGACUCCUACGCGAGGCAGCAGUGGGGAAUAUAGGACAAUGGGCGAAGGCCUGAUCCAGCUAUGCCGCGUGAGUGAUGAAGGCCUUAGGGUUGUAAAGCUCUUUUAACCGGGAUGAUAAUGACAGUACCGGGAGAAUAAGCACCGGCUAACUCCGUG
rnacentral:rRNA from 1 species